rnacentral:rRNA from 1 species
GUGGGGAAUAUUGGACAAUGGGCGCAAGCCUGAUCCAGCCAUGCCGCGUGAGUGAUGAAGGCCCUAGGGUUGUAAAGCUCUUUCAGUGGGGACGAUAAUGACGGUACCUACAGAAGAAGCCCCGGCUAACUUCGUGCCAGCAGCCGCGGUAAUACGAAGGGGGCUAGCGUUGUUCGGAUUUACUGGGCGUAAAGCGCACGUAGGCGGAUCGUUAAGUCGGGGGUGAAAUCCUGGAGCUCAACUCCAGAACUGCCUUCGAUACUGGCGAUCUUGAGUCCGGAAGAGGUGAGUGGAACUCCUAGUGUAGAGGUGGAAUUCGUAGAUAUUAGGAAGAACACCAGUGGCGAAGGCGGCUCACUGGUCCGGUACUGACGCUGAGGUGCGAAAGCGUGGGGAGCAAACAGGAUUAGAAACCCCGGUAGUCC